rnacentral:lncRNA from 1 species
GUCUGCGGGUGGGGCCGCCGCUUUCCCUUGCAGACGAAAGCUGCUGACGGGAAAACCACGCGGGAGGGGAACGUCUAGGCCCUGGCCCUUUCCCCUCAAAGGCCGCGGGAACAUAGGGCUGGGGAAUCCUGGCAGAGGCUCUGGGCAUUAUUACAGAUGGUCGUUGAGGGUCGCAAGCACCAGGCCUGGAGGCCCUCCUCGGCCUGCUACCAGCUGUGACCUUUGGAAAGUGACUUGGCUCGCGCCUCAGUUUUCCGUUUUCUGGAGGACUUGCGGCCUGAGAGUGGCCAAAAAGAAGAGAGUUACUGUCGCAGUCACUGCCUGCCUAGUGGGUAUUUAGGUGCCCAGUCAUGCCUUUGCUCUCGGAGCCAGUGCCUGGUGCAAGCACUGCGGUGGGUUCGUGCCCCAGCUUGGGGGCCACAGGGCUGACUCGGCCGCACUGCCUAUGCGAGCUUGGCCCCAGUUUCCUCGUCAGGGCACAGAACUUCCUUCAAAGGUUCAAAAGAAGAGGCUGUUCUAAGAAAGACUACCGAGUAAUCAAUCACCUCCUCAGAGAAAGUCUGCUCAGGGACCAGCUCUGUGAACACGGCAAGUAACAACAGAGAGAAAACGUGAGGAGAAAAGAGAGACCGGGAUUUUGAAAUCCUGUUUCCUGAAUGCCAUCUCACCAGGCACACGAAAGAAUAAAAUUAAGGAAUCAAGAGCCAA